GCGCACAGUAUGCGUCAGUGUGUGUGCGUGUGCGUAUGUGUGUGUAAAACACGAUGUAUAACAUUGUACGAACAAACACGAGAGCAAACGGUGCUCACAUGACACCCCCGACGUUCCCGGAGCAUUUAAUUCACUUGGACGAUGGUAUAAAGCAUGGGUGAUACGUUGCAGUUCGUAUUCUGUCGCCUGAACAUGCGCCUUAACGCCUGCAAGCCGCCGACGACUGUACGGAACACGUCGAUAUUGACGCUUAUAUUCACCCCACCGAACUUUUGAGCUGACGGCGAGCGGUAUCCUGCAGUGAGGGGGCAGUGCCAGCUGAGUAUACCCAUAUACAGUGUGACCGAACUCAGGGUUGUUGAUCGAGUGCGACAUUACAAAGAUCAGAGGUUCUCAACCAAAAAAAGUCCAGGAUUUAAGAAAACCUGAGUCCCACGUAGUAAACGUUUGGAAUUUUUUUUACAUACAAAUUAGUCCAAUAACGAUUUUUGUUGCUUAUUAAAAAUGUAUACGUUAUUUUAAA